GGCUGGGUAGCUCAGUUGGUACGAGCGUCCGCCUGAAAAGCGGAAGGUCGGCGGUUCGACCCCGUCCCCAGCCAC
rnacentral:tRNA from 1 species